rnacentral:rRNA from 1 species
AUUGAACGCUGGCGGCAGGCCUAACACAUGCAAGUCGAGCGAGCGGCGGACGGGUGAGUAAUGUCUGGGAAACUGCCUGAUGGCGGGGGAUAACUACUGGAAACGGUAGCUAAUACCGCAUACCAUCAGAUGUGCCCAGAUGGGAUUAGCUAGUAGGUGGGGUAACGGCUCACCUAGGCGACGAUCCCUAGCUGGUCUGAGAGGAUGACCAGCCACACUGGAACAGAGACACGGUCCAGACUCCUACGGGAGGCAGCAGUGGGGAAUAGUGCACAAUGGGCGCAAGCGUGAUGCAGCCAUGCCGCGUGUAUGAAGAAGGCCUUCGGGUUGUAAAGUACGUGCAGCGGGGAGGCGUUACCCACAGAAUAAGCACCGGCUAACUCCGUGCCAGCAGCCGCGGUAAUAC